GGCAGGUUCAUCCCACACUUCAGGAUGUUAUGGAUCUCUUGCAUUUUCCAGCUGUCUUGUGAAUUUCUUGUCACGUGACAUCUUUUCUCCUUUGUAUUAUUUUUUGCAUCCCUUUUCCUCCACCUCAGGCUUCCGGAUCAUCAGCCCCACGGUGCCAGGUGACUUGCUCCCGUUCAGCAUAAUUGAGUCUCCACAUUCACUUGAAACUUGGGCCCCUGAGGAGCUGGCCAAGCCUGUUAGAACGGCUUCUCUUCUCCACCCAAGUGGGGAAUACAGCACUUUAAGAAGAAAAGGACGGAGGAGCAGGGUUAGAACGGGCAUCAGAAACAGGUAACCUGUGGUCACUCCAGGCAAAGUGUUACCCUAUCAGGAAGGCUAAGUCCAAGGGUGAAGGUAAACCCUAAUAUUCUUUUAACAAGUAAAGGAAUUAGAUAACUCAUUAUGAAAGAAACAAAGCGUCAGCUUAGAUCGUGUGGCUUAUGUGAUAGCUGACUUGUUUCGCUCUCAAAAAUUUCAAGCACCCGCCAUGUCAACUGAGUGAAGUUUCAGCUCCUCAUCCUGGUGGGAUUCAGGGCAAUCUAAGGCAUGGCCCUGACCUGCCUUUCCAGGGUCAUUUUCUACUGCUCCCCUCAUUGGACCCUGUGCCCCAGCUGAGCUAAUUUCCUCAUACCUCCUGGCCCAGCCUUGCCCAUCUC
rnacentral:lncRNA from 1 species